rnacentral:rRNA from 1 species
AUUGAACGCUGGCGGCAGGCUUAACACAUGCAAGUCGAGCGGAGAUGAGGUGCUUGCACCUUAUCUUAGCGGCGGACGGGUGAGUAAUGCUUAGGAAUCUGCCUAUUAGUGGGGGACAACAUUCCGAAAGGAAUGCUAAUACCGCAUACGUCCUACGGGAGAAAGCAGGGGAUCUUCGGACCUUGCGCUAAUAGAUGAGCCUAAGUCGGAUUAGCUAGUUGGUGGGGUAAAGGCCUACCAAGGCGACGAUCUGUAGCGGGUCUGAGGGGAUGAUCCGCCACACUGGGACUGAGACACGGCCCAGACUCCUACGGGAGGCAGCAGUGGGGAAUAUUGGACAAUGGGGGGAACCCUGAUCCAGCCAUACCGCGUGUGUGAAGAAGGCCUUAUGGUUGUAAAGCACUUUAAGCGAGGAGGAGGCUACUGAGACUAAUACUCUUGGAUAGUGGACGUUACUCGCAGAAUAAGCACCGGCUAACUCUGUGCCAGCAGCCGCCGCCGUAA